GAGGAAUAUUGGUCAAUGGGCUGAGGCCUGAACCAGCCAAGUCGCGUGAGGGGAAGACGGUCCUAUGGAUUGUAAACCUCUUUUGUCGGGGAGCAACGACGUCACGAGUGACGGAAGCGAGAGUACCCGAAGAAAAAGCAUCGGCUAACUCCGUGCCAGCAGCCGCGGUAAUACGGAGGAUGCGAGCGUUAUCCGGAUUUAUUGGGUUUAAAGGGUGCGUAGGCGGACUGUUAAGUCAGCGGUAAAAAUUCGGGGCCCAACCCCGUCAUGCCGUUGAAACUGGCGGACUAGAGUGGGCGAGAAGUAUGCGGAAUGCGAGGUGUAGCGGUGAAAUGCAUAGAUAUCACGCAGAACUCCGAUUGCGAAGGCAGCAUACCGGCGCCCGACUGACGCUGAGGCACGAAAGCGUGGGGAUCGAACAGG
rnacentral:rRNA from 1 species